UACGGAGGGUGCAAGCGUUGUCCGGAAUCACUGGGUGUAAAGGGUGUGUAGGCGGGCCGAUAAGUCCGUGGUGAAAGCCUGCGGCUCAACCGCAGAACGGCCAUGGAUACUGCCGGUCUUGAGUGCUGGAGAGGUCACUGGAAUUCGUGGUGUAGCGGUGAAAUGCGUAGAUAUCACGAGGAACACCGGAGGUGUAGACGGGUGACUGGACAGCAACUGACGCUCAGGCACGAAAGCGUGGGGAGCAAACAGG
rnacentral:rRNA from 1 species